GAUGAACGCUGGCGGCGUGCUUAACACAUGCAAGUCGAACGAAGCACUUUAUUUGAUUUCUUCGGAAUGAAGAUUUUGUGACUGAGUGGCGGACGGGUGAGUAACACGUGGGUAACCUGCCUCAUACAGGGGGAUAACAGUUGGAAACGACUGCUAAUACCGCAUAAGCGUACAGGGUCGCAUGACCUGGUGUGAAAAACUCCGGUGGUAUGAGAUGGACCCGCGUCUGAUUAGCCAGUUGGUGGGGUAACGGCCUACCAAAGCGACGAUCAGUAGCCGACCUGAGAGGGUGACCGGCCACAUUGGGACUGAGACACGGCCCAAACUCCUACGGGAGGCAGCAGUGGGGAAUAUUGCACAAUGGGGGAAACCCUGAUGCAGCGACGCCGCGUGAGCGAAGAAGUAUUUCGGUAUGUAAAGCUCUAUCAGCAGGGAAGAAGAAAUGACGG
rnacentral:rRNA from 1 species